GUCGGGCUGCGGAGCCGAGGACGUCCGACUUGGGGUCGGAGCGCUGGAUCAAAGGGCAGCCGACUCGGGGUCGGGCUGCGGAGCCGAGGACGUCCGACUCGGGGUCGGAGCGCUGGAUCAAAGGGCAGCCGACUCGGGGUCGGGCUGCGGAGCCGAGGACGUCCGACUCGGGGUCGGAUUGCUGGAUCAAAGGGCAGCCGUAGUCUUCCUGGGCGCGCGUGCCGGUCACGUGGGGCAUGGCGGCUUAGUUCCCCCGUAACAGUA
rnacentral:lncRNA from 1 species